rnacentral:tRNA from 1 species
GCCGGCGUAGCUCAGUUGGUAGAGCAGCUGAUUCGUAAUCAGCAGGUCGUCCGUUCAACCCGGAUCGCCGGCUCCA